rfam:Agrilus planipennis Contig27284, whole genome shotgun sequence.
AAAAUGGUUCUUUUUAGAGCCACAAUUUCAUUCAAAAUCGGAUUAU